CCUGGUUGAUCUUGCCAGUAGUCAUAUGCUUGUCUCAAAGAUUAAGCCAUGCAAGUGAAAGUAUAUAUAUAUUUUAUAUGUAGAAACUGCGAACGGCUCAUUAAAACAGUUAUAGUCUACUUGACAUUUUUAUUAUAAGGAUAACUACGGAAAAGCUGUAGCUAAUACUUGCUUUAUUAUCCUUUGAUUUUUAUCUUUGGAUAAGUAUUUGUUAGGCCUUAUAAGAAAAAAGUUAUUAACUUAAGGAAUUAUAACAAAGAAGUAACACGUAAUAAAUUUAUUUUAUUUAGUGUGUAUCAAUCGAGUUUCUGACCUAUCAGCUUUUGAUGUUAGGGUAUUGGCCUAACAUGGCUAUGACGGGUAACGGGGAAUUAGAGUUCGAUUCCGGAGAGGGAGCCUGAGAAAUAGCUACCACAUCUAAGGAAGGCAGCAGGCGCGUAAAUUACCCAAUUCUAAAGAAGAGAGGUAGUGACAAGAAAUAACAAUGCAAGGCCAAUUUUUGGUUUUGUAAUUGGAAUGGUGGGAAUUUAAAACCUUCCCAGAGUAACAAUUGGAGGGCAAGUCUGGUGCCAGCAGCCGCGGUAAUUCCAGCUCCAAUAGCGUAUAUUAAAAUUGUUGCAGUUAAAACGCUCGUAGUUGAAUUUCAAAGAAUCGAUAUUUUAUUGUAACUAUUCUAGGGGAACUAUUUUAGCUUUUGGCUUUAAUACGCUUCCUCUAUUAUUAUGUUCUUUAAAUAACAAAGAUUCUUUUUAAAAUCCCCACUUUUGCUUUUGCUUUUUGGGGAUUUUGUUACUUUGAGUAAAUUAGAGUGUUCAAAGCAAACAGUUAAAGCAUUUACUGUGUUUGAAUACUAUAGCAUGGAAUAACAAAAUUGAACAAGCUAAAAUUUUUUGUUCUUUUUUCUUAUUUUGGCUUAGUUACGAUUAAUAGGAGUAGCUUGGGGACAUUCGUAUUCAGAUGUCAGAGGUGAAAUUCUUAGAUUUUCUGGAGACGAACAACUGCGAAAGCAUUUGUCUAAAAUACUUCCAUUAAUCAAGAACGAAAGUUAAGGGAGUGAAGACGAUCAGAUACCGUCGUAAUCUUAACCAUAAACUAUGCCGACUAGGUGUUGGAUGAAAGUGUUAAAAAUAAAAGUCAUCUUUCGAGGUGACUUUUAGAUUGCUUCCUUCAGUACCUUAUGAGAAAUCAAAGUCUUUGGGUUCUGGGGCGAGUAUUCGCGCAAGCGAGAAAGUUAAAAGAAUUGACGGAAGGGCACCACCAGGCGUGGAGCUUGCGGCUUAAUUUGACUCAACACGGGGAAACUCACUAGUUUAAGACAAGAGUAGGAUUGACAGAUUAAUAGCUCUUUCUUGAUUUCUUGGAUGGUGAUGCAUGGCCGUUUUUAGUUCGUGAAUAUGAUUUGUCUGGUUAAUUCCGAUAACGAACGAGAUCUUAACCUGCUAAUUAGCGGCGAGUACACUAUAUUCUUAUUUGAAAUUGAACAUAGGUAACUAUACAUUUAUUCAGUAAUCAAAUUAGGAUAUUUUUAUUAAAAUAUCCUUUUCCCUGUUCUACUAAUAAUUUGUUUUUUACUCUAUUUCUCUCUUCUUUUAAGAAUGUACUUGCUUGAUUGAAAAGCUUCUUAGAGGAACAUUGUGUGUCUAACACAAGGAAGUUUAAGGCAACAACAGGUCUGUGAUGUCCUUAGAUGAACUAGGCUGCACG
rnacentral:rRNA from 1 species